AUCCAGCUGACGAGUCGCAAACAGGACUAAACCCGCAUCCUGGAU
rnacentral:hammerhead_ribozyme from 1 species